CAAAACUCUCUACACCAAAAACAUAACAGAACACGAGCACACGACAAAGAAUCACAGCAGAAAAAAUAUAAAUGAAGAAGAAAUAAACCUGGAAUCAAUAAAUACGUCUGAUUAACUUUGCACGAACACUAGUUACAACUGAAAUCCAGAAGCUAAUAUCAAUCCGAAUAGCAAACAGAAUCGAGUAGAAAUCAAAACUUUGGACAGCAAUAAAACUCCAGCAACUCUUAGUCGAGCAUCAUUUUCAAACAGCCUUCAGCCCAGAAAGAAGGAAUGAAAUAUAUAUUUUUUGAUUUUUUCUUUUCUGAACAGUAAUCGAAAAUGAAACAGAUUUUUUAAAGGACAAUCAACAUUUUUUCGAAUGUAUAUCUUUCUCUUGUUCUGAAAAAAAAAACUAAAACCGGAUUGAAAACCAAGAAGAAGAAGAAUCAUUUUCUUUUUAAUCCUCAGCUUUGCCAAAAAAAUCCUCCAGAAAAAUCCUCCUCCCUUCAAAAUCGGAUCUAAUCCCUUAUCAAAUGAACCCCUGAUGAAUGUGGGGCUCGGAUUGAAUGAAAUCAAUCUAACACAUCACACUCAUUCACUUGCCAUGGAUUUUGAGUGAUUUGGGGCUUGAUUCGGGUGAAGGAGGCGAUGAAUAGCGCGCGUGGAGUUAGGGAUUUGGGAUUUAUGGGUCUC
rnacentral:lncRNA from 1 species